CCUACGGGGGGCAGCAGUAGGGAAUAUUGCUCAAUGGGGGAAACCCUGAAGCAGCAACGCCGCGUGGAGGAUGAAGGUUUUCGGAUUGUAAACUCCUUUUGUUAGAGAAGAUAAUGACGGUAUCUAACGAAUAAGCACCGGCUAAAUACGGGCCAGCAGCCGCGGUAAUACGGAGGGUGCAAGCGUUACUCGGAAUCACUGGGCGUAAAGGGCGCGUAGGCGGGAUAGCAAGUCAGAUGUGAAAUCCUAUGGCUUAACCAUAGAACUGCAUUUGAAACUGUUAUUCUAGAGUAUGGGAGAGGUAGGUGGAAUUCUUGGUGUAGGGGUAAAAUCCGUAGAGAUCAAGAGGAAUACUCAUUGCGAAGGCGACCUGCUAGAACAUAACUGACGCUGAUGCGCGAAAGCGUGGGGAGCAAACAGGAUUAGAUACCCUAGUAGUC
rnacentral:rRNA from 1 species